AAUGAACGCUGGCGGCGCGCCUAAUACAUGCAAGUCGAGCGAGAAGACGUAGCAAUACGUUUGUAAAGCGGCGAACGGGUGAGGAAUACAUGGGUAACCUACCCUCGAGUGGGGAAUAACUAGCCGAAAGGUUAGCUAAUACCGCGUACGCUUCUUGGACUUCGGUUCAGGGAGGAAAGCGAUGCCGAGGGUAUCGCGCUCUUGGAUGGGCUCAUGUCCUAUCAGCUUGUUGGGAGGUAACGGCUCACCAAGGCUUCGACGGGUAGCUGGUCUGAGAGGACGAUCAGCCACACUGGCACUGCGACACGGGCCAGACUCCUACGGGAGGCAGCAGUAAGGAAUAUUGCGCAAUGGGCGAAAGCCUGACGCAGCGACGCCGCGUGGGGGAUGAAGGUCUUCGGAUUGUAAACCCCUUUCGGGAGGGAAGAUGGAA
rnacentral:rRNA from 1 species